ACGCUGGCUACAGGCUUAACACAUGCAAGUCGAGGGGAAACGGCGUUGAGUGCUCGCACUCUUCGGACGUCGACCGGCGCACGGGUGAGUAACGCGUAUCCAACCUUCCCGUCACUGCGGGAUAACCUGCCGAAAGGCAGACUAAUACCGCAUGGCCUUCACUGACGGCAUCAGAGGUGAAGUAAAGCUUUUUAGCGGUGACGGACGGGGAUGCGUCUGAUUAGCUGGUUGGCGGGGCGACGGCCCACCAAGGCAACGAUCAGUAGGGGUUCUGAGAGGAAGGUCCCCCACAUUGGAACUGAGACACGGUCCAAACUCCUACGGGAGGCAGCAGUGAGGAAUAUCGGUCAAUGGGCGGAAGCCUGAACCAGCCAAGUAGCGUGCAGGAUGACGGCCCUACGGGUUGUAAACUGCUUUUAUGCGGGGAUAAAGUGAGGGACGCGUCCCUUUUUGCAGGUACCGCAUGAAUAAGGACCGGCUAAUUCCGUGCCAGCAGCCGCGGUAAUACGGAAGGUCCGGGCGUUAUCCGGAUUUAUUGGGUUUAAAGGGAGCGUAGGCCGGGGAUUAAGUGUGUUGUGAAAUGUAGGCGCUCAACGUCUGAUGUGCAGCGCAUACUGGUUCCCUUGAGUACGCGCAACGCCGGCGGAAUUCGUCGUGUAGCGGUGAAAUGCUUAGAUAUGACGAAGAACCCCGAUUGCGAAGGCAGCCGGCGGGAGCGCAACUGACGCUGAAGCUCGAAGGUGCGGGUAUCGAACAGGAUUAGAUACCCUGGUAGUCCGCACGGUAAACGAUGGAUGCCCGCUCUCGGCGCCUGGCGCCGGGGGCCAAGCGAAAGCGUUAAGCAUCCCACCUGGGGAGUACGCCGGCAACGGUGAAACUCAAAGGAAUUGACGGGGGCCCGCACAAGCGG
rnacentral:rRNA from 1 species